rnacentral:rRNA from 1 species
UGGGGCAUCAUGGUCAAUGGGCGAGAGCCUGAAGCAGCAACGCCGCGUGGACGAAGAAGGCCUUCGGGUUGUAAAGUUCUUUUAUAUGGGAUGAGGAAGGACAGUACCAUAUGAAUAAGUCUCGGCUAACUACGUGCCAGCAGCCGCGGUAAAACGUAGGAGACGAGCGUUAUCCGGAUUUACUGGGCGUAAAGAGCGUGUAGGAGGCAAUACAAGUUGGAUGUAAAAGCUCUCGGCUAAACUGAGAGAGGACGUUCAAGACUGUAGAGCUAGAGGAAGGCAGAGGUAGAUGGAACUCCGGGAGUAGUGGUGAAAUGCGUAGAUAUCCGGAAGAACACCAGAGGCGAAAGCGAUCUACUGGGCCUUAACAGACACUGAGACGCGAAAGCCAGGGGAGCAAACG